GUAAGAAUAUUCCGCAAUGGACGAAAGUCUGACGGAGCGACGCCGCGUGGAUGAUGAAGGCCGGAAGGUUGUAAAAUCCUUUUAUGACUGAGGAAUAAGUGAAGUGAGGGAAACGCUUCAUGGUGACUGUAGGUCAUGAAUAAGCAACGGCUAAUUACGUGCCAGCAGCCGCGGUAACACGUAAGUUGCGAGCGUUGUUCGGAAUUAUUGGGCGUAAAGGGUAUGUAGGCGGUUCUGCAAGUCUGGUGUGAAAUGCCGGGGCUCAACCCGGAACUGCGUUGGAAACUGCAGGACUUGAAUCGCUGAGGGGCAGCCAGAA
rnacentral:rRNA from 1 species